UAUCAGUUCGGGAAAUAUUGCGUCGUCCCGAACGCCCGGCACGCACCUCUCCCCUUAUCCAUUUCUUCCGUUCCCCAUCGACACUCACUUCGUGGCGAGGAGCUUGGCAGCGAGGCGCUCGACGGCAGAGACAACGAGCGGGAGGAGGUGUGCGGCGGCGGAGACGAGGAGCUGGAGGAGCCGUGUGGCGACGCGGUGUUUCCAAACCCUCGAUAGUGGAGGCAGUACUCGGCGGCGAUGCAGGUGCGUGGCGUCGUAUCGACGGCGGCGAUGCCGGUGCGCGGCAUCCGUGCGUGGGCACGUCGUUGCGGGGAACGACUCCCUGACGGGAUCACGGGGAACGGCGGCCUGACGAGGAGAUCCGGUGUCCUCGUCGCCGCCGUAUGUCGGAGCGCCGCGGCCGCUCGCCGGGAUGGCUCGCGCCGGUGCUAUCCACGCCCGGCGGCAGCCACACGAUGCCAGCGUCGGCAAGCUGGAACGUCUCGCCGACCUGGACGCCUCCUUCAGCGGCGCUAGGAUCUCCUGCAAUCGGGCGGUGCUGGAGCUCCACUACGGCAGCGGUCAUUGCCCCUACAAACGCUAGGUGCUGGCACAGCACCAGGAGAUGGGCCGCCUAUGCAAGGACGUUGCAGGUAGGGCUGGACACGAGCCGAGCCGAGCCGAGUUUGAUCCGAGCUAGGCUUUGGCUCGCCCGUAAGCGAGCUGGCUCGGCUCCGCUCGUUUGGCGAACGAGCCUACUUCUAGUGGCUCGGCUCGUCUUGUAUCUUGCUCGGUCCAGCCCGAGCGGCUCGUGUGAGUGAGUGCUGGUGUGUAUAUUCAGUGUGAUGGCAGCGGCUGGAGUGGGCGUAGGCGCCACCGGCCGACGCCGGUGAAGUGUGGGCGUGUGUGUGUGCGUGCAAAGUCUCCUCUGCGUAGCUGGUUGCCAGGGUCAUUGUCAGGAGAGGAGGGCAUGUACUGGAGGUCAUACCUGCUCUUGCCUGGGACAGUGGCAUGGUCGACGAGGAAUCACGCGAGCGACGAACAGCGGUGUCCGGCGCAGCGGCCAACAUGCACGUACCCCGUCGGUGUCGACGGCGAGCCAUCAGCGUUGGGCGCGGCGAGGAGGACGACGUCGGGUGGUGGCCACUGGCUGGACAGCGGCGGCGCAAACCCUAAGCAGGGGCGGCUGCAUUCGCUGGCUAGGGGAUUCACGUGCGAGUCGGGGUGGUUUGUAGUCGGCUUGGGCUGCUCGUGUGGGCUGCUAUCUAUAGGCAAUGGGCUGAAAAUUAUCUAAAUAAAAUUAACUGGGCUGCGAAACGAGCCACCGAGCUGGACCGAGCGAAAACCGGCUCGGCUCGGUCGUCGAACGAGCCGUAAUUUGCUAGCUCGGCUCGGCCUAUUUUCUUGUCAGGCCGAGCUGAGUCGGGCCGAGCUGAGUCGGGUUUCGGGCCGAGCCGAAAAGCUCGCUCGAGCGUCCAGUCCAAGUUGCAGGCUACAGGUUCAGACUUCAGACAUUUCAGCUCUCUACCAUCAGUCGGGUGCUUACCUUUUGUCAUGCUUCUAUGUAGGAAUGCAACAAAUUGGUAAAUUUACCAUGCGCCCAGUACAAAUUAUUCAACUUUUUGCCA